UACGUAGGGGGCUAGCGUUGUCCGGAAUCAUUGGGCGUAAAGCGCGUGUAGGCGGCCUUGUAAGUCCGUUCUGAAAGCCCGGGGCUCAACCCCGGGAGGCGGAUGGAUACUGCAAGGCUCGAGUCCAGAAGAGGCGAGUGGAAUUCCCGGUGUAGCGGUGAAAUGCGCAGAUAUCGGGAGGAACACCAAUGGCGAAGGCAGCUCGCUGGGACGGUACUGACGCUGAGACGCGAAAGCGUGAGGAGCAAACAGG
rnacentral:rRNA from 1 species